GUUUCCAUGUACUUAAAUACAGAAUAUAUACAUUAACUGAUACUUAGUCUAAUUACAGAGACAUGCUCAUCAAGGCAAGGUGAUGAUUGUCAGAGGGGAAAUCUCCUGCCACAAGAUCUUCAAAGGCAUUACACCAGGGAUGGAUCCAGCUGAAUACUGGCAAUUUGGAGGAUUGUUCUUUAUCUGCUACAUUGCACUAUCACUUCUGUUACAGAUUCGUUGACCUUGCUAUGUUUUGAUUUUACUUUAUUUGUAAUUAAGUCUCCAAUUGCAUUUUAAUUGACACAGUGAAACUCUUGUAGAUGUAUCCAUUUCCUUUGCAUUUCUUCAGUAUGUUUUCAGUUGAGGAUAUUUCACAGUAAUCUUAAAGCUUAUAUUUUAUGAGAAU
rnacentral:lncRNA from 1 species